rnacentral:rRNA from 1 species
GCUCCGCAGGGAGUGGCGGACGGGUGAGUAACACAUGGGUGACCUGCCCUUUGGUGAGGAAUACCGGCGAGAAAUCGCCGACAAGACCGCAUACGCUCGGCCUGCGCAAGCAGGCUGCGCAAAGCUCGUUGCGCAAGCAAAGGGCGCCAGAGGAUGGGCCUGUGGCCGAUUAGCUGGUUGGUGGGGUAACGGCUCACCAAGGCGACGAUCGGUAGCUGGUCUGCGAGGACGAUCAGCCACACUGGGAUUGAGAACGGCCCAGACUCCUACGGGGGGCAGCAGUGAGGAAUUUUCCGCAAUGGACGCAAGUCUGACGGAGCAACGCCGCGUGCAGGAGGACGCUUCUCGGA